CCCGUCCCUAUUCCCCACUCCCAAACACGUCUUCGCGCUCUCUUUUCAAAGAGCCAGAAACUUUAAAAACUUGGAUCGGCACAGCCCGGCAGUUCGCCGAUGGGCGCUGCGCGCCGCCCUUUCCACGCGAUGGGAACAGACCCCGAGAACAAGUUAACAAUGAAAUCACCUGAAGGAGUUCAGAGCGGUACGUCGUCCCAGCCCAGCUCCGCACUCAAAGCUCCGGGGGCCGGCUCGAGGGCGGCGCGUGGUGCCGGGAGCCUGACAAUCGCGCACCGGGCCAGAAGGCGAGGUCGACAGGCGCCCGGCCUUCCCCCGGCGGCGGGGCUGACAGCCGGGCAGACACAACAUCACACGUGCUGCGCCUCGCACCACAACACCCGCCGGCCUGUCAGCCCCGCUAGCCGCCUCAGCCCGGCUCCGAUCCUUACACCGCCGGCCGGAGGCCAAGCCGGAGCCGGAACCCGAGCCCAUGACAGAGCGCCCGCGAGCGCGGAGGAAACCGCCCGACUGGGCCAAGGAGGCUCGAGGAAAGGGGGUGGGCGCGCCCCGAGGGAGAGCGGCCUCGCCAGCCCGAGGCUCCGCAGCCUGGGCCGCUCGCCGCCCGCCCACCCGCCGGUUCCCCCAGGGCGGGCCCGGCCGGCGGGGUCGGGGCGAGGGGCCCGCGAGCGCGGGGCCAGGCGGCGGCUCGCAGGUAGCGGGCAGGGGCAGCCGGGCGCCCGGCGGGCUGGCGCGAGGGGGCGGCCACGGAGCCCCAGCCCGAGACCUGGCGCAGAGCAACAGGAGGCGGCGCAGGCCGCGGCGGGUCCGGCAGCGGAGCGGGCCCUGGAGCGGCUCGGCUUCGGGUUGGGCGGCCAGGGGCGGCCCGUCGGCUACUUACCGGGAGGAAGGAGAGACUCCAGGCCGGACCGCGGAGAUGCCGCAAACUGGCAUGGCCGCCAUCUUGGAGACAAUUCUAGUUAUUCAUUCCCAGACAGAAUACUACAAAAGUGAUAUUACAUCUUUCUUCGGGAAUUAUUUCUGGAGGUAUGUGACUUCAACCUGCCCCUUAUUGAAGUUAUUUUUUUAAAAAACAACUUUCUGAGUUAUAAGUCAUAUGCCAUAACAUUUACUCAUUUAAAACCUACAACUCAAUGCUUUUUGCUCCUCUUGUCUUUCUUUUCCUGCUAGUGUAUGAAUUUUGCAUUUAAGGCUAGAAUUAACCAAUUCUCAAUAUGUAUAAAUACAUUUUCUUUAUAUUAAUCUGAGAGACCAGUCAAAUGCAAGUAAGUAGGCUUGUCUAACCAACGAGUCAGAUCCAACUAGAUGUAUUCAAAAGUCUGGACUUGAGUUAUUUUCACCAAUUCUGUUUCCAGUAUUCUUGAGUUUUCUAAAUCGUGGUUAAGAUCAGUCAUCCCAAGCAUAACCUAGAAGUGUGCUAUGAAGUAUGACAAAGUUUGAUUGCAACAGACUGACUCAGAAGAAACAUGGCCCCUCUCCAAGGACCAGUUCAGCACCUUGUGGGUAGAUUUCAGGAAGGCCCCACUUGUGCAACAAAGCUUCAGUUCCCAAUGAGAAGAUUGCCUCUGCAAGGUUUUUUUGGUUGUCCGAUUUAAAUAAACCGAGAAGAUAGAAUCACAUGGACGCUGAAGUCAUCUGCAAAGGUAGCCUUGCCUUUUUCAAAUCACACACAUCAAACUCUGAUGGCUUUUUUCACUCUCACGCCACGAAGCAUGGGGUUCAUGCAGCCGGCUGUGUUCAUAUCAUCACUAGAACCGCGUCUGUGAUUUUCCAGAGCAUCAUCCGUGGGCACUUUGGCCUGAGUUGCUUGAAGUCCAGCAUGUUUUCGACCUCCCUGCAUGAGGCCCUCACAGGAAGUCUUAUGGCAGGUCCCCAUUUGCAUUACACGUGAUGAAGCCUCUGAAGAGCUGAUCAUUCAGGAUGGGAAACCAUGCAGGCAAAUGAGAAUUAAACACCGAGAAGACCAAUACGCUAAGACAUGAGCUGAUCCUAAAAAUUCGCAUGUCGUUUUGUUAUUAAACACAAAUUUCCUUGCAUGGCAUUCACCAUUGUCCGCCUUAUUUGAAGGCACUGGCUUCUUUUGACUGAUUUGGAUUCUCUGCAUUGCCAUCGAUUCCUCUGUAGUGUCCUGAGUCAGGGUUCUGGACCCUUUUCCCACUGAGAUGCUCAGGACAGAUGAUCCAAGGAUGUUGACAAGGACACAGAUGCUGAGGGGUCCUCGCCGUCUGUCUUUCUGCCCACCCUUCUCUCUAGACCAGGCUUAUUCUGAUGAUAAGGAACAAGCCUGCCAUUGUGCACAAAAGUAAACCCACCCUAAUUUGUAUGGGGGGCUCUUGGUCCAUGCUGUGUGGUUGGUCCUAAAGGUAUCAGGAAGUUCUCGGAGAGGAAAGAGAAGAUACAAUUCCUUUGCUCUGAUGCAAAAAUACUUUUCAUUUUUCAACAUUUUUUAUAUUUUAAACAUGUAUAAUUUUCCCUCGAGGGAAAUUAUUUCAUUUCCUUGUUACUUUAAUUCAACAUAAAAUUAUGCAUGCUCCAACCUGAGGGAGAUGGUGGUGUAUUAGAAUGUCUGGCUGCUGAAGAUGGGCUAGCGUUAGGGUCAGGGUAACCCCCGUCUUACACCCAGAAUGCUUUAGAAAUGUCCAUGGAAUUGAACUGAAUUGAAUGUCAGUCUUCCAACCUCUUACCGUGGUCCGUACUGCGUUUUUAUUUAAUAAUAAUAAUAAACUUGGAAGAAACGGGACCUUCUCUGAUUUGUACUUGGACUCAGUCUCUGUAUCAGCCACAUGGGUAAUUUUCCAUGAUUUGCUUUCAAAUCGUCUGUGAAAGGUGAACAGGUGACUACAUACUGUUCCUGUUUACAUUUUAUCUCAAAGUGAUAAGCAGUCGUUUCUUCCUAAUGAUUUAGAAAGACCAAUUUUAUAAAUAUGUAAAUGGUUCUAGUCAAUGUUGAAGGGGGGUCACUCAUUUUAUUCAGCCCAUACUUAAACUAUAAUACUGGUAAUGUCAUUUUAUAAUUAACACUACCAUUUAACAUAAAUGUAUUAAGUUACUAAUCUAUUAAGAGCAUGGCUUGGAUACAGUAUCCACACCAGGAGGACUGUUUCAGCUAAAAAUGAAAGUGGAAAAAACAGCUCUGCUCAGAGGUCUCCAGGCUGCUAACACUGAUGGUAUUUUAAGUCUUAGAAUACCUGAUUUGCAACUCGAGUUUCUAUAAAACUCUGUGUGGCUUUCAGUUUCGUUCCUGGUGUUUGAUGCUGUAAAACACCCACAUGUAUUUUCCAUUCGUUUAAUGUUGUCAGAGUCAGAUUCUUGAGCCCUACCAAAGCCCACACUUAGGAUUUUGUUUUCUGAAAUCUCAUGGUUAAAGUUCCGAUUAUUUAAAAACCUCAAAAAUGGGAAAUUUUAAAACUAUGGUUCCUGUAGGUAGUUUAAGAAGAGCUUUUAUUUUCUUUAAACUUGAUGGGAAACAUUUUUGUGCCUUUCCAAGUACGUGCUCUGCGAUGCUGCAUGACUUAGUGGAGCGUUUAAACUUAAACCACUAAAGAAAAAGUGCCACCUGCCACUCUGUACAUUUCUGUGUGUGAUUCUGGGGGCAUUUAUUUUUCCCCUUAGGAGAAAGUCAAGGAAAGCUUCUGUCAGUUUCAGGGGCUGGUGACUGAUCUGCCAGCAGGGAAGGCAGCUGCAGUGGGGUCUGCCCCGUCCACCCUACACAUGCCCUCUGCAGAGCCGCCCCUCUGCCUGACCCAGGCUGCUCAGGGCCCCCUCCCUCCUGGCCUACUGCCAUCUUCUCCCCCGUCCCCACCCACACUCCUUCCUCUGCCUAGAGCCUAGGCCCAGUGCUCUGAUACGGGUCGUAGUGAUUUGCUUAUCAUACGGCUAAUUCCCCUCCAACAUCCAGGAGGGAACUUUCCUCUCUCUUUUGCCUCCAUCUCAGCCUGGAGCAGCCCCAGCACUUAACUGGCUCACAGAUGUUUCAAAGAGUAAAUGAAUCAUACCUAUUUCCUAACUUCCUUUUCACAUAAAAGCUGUUUCCUGAGCAGGCUCUGGGUGCUGCUGGCUGCUGGGGAGGUGGUGGCGAGGUCUGGUCUCUUGCCUGCGGGAGCUUCCAAUGUCCUUUGCAAGUUUUGCCCUCAGUGACUCAGGGCCUUGAAAUCUGCUGCUCUCUCAUCCUGAAUAAGCCACAUCAGGAUAUAAGAGGAAGAGGGACUAACUAAAGGGGUAACUGUGGAAUUUCUCUGAGUUGCAGUGUUAGUCCAGUCAUGUGGGGCACAAUUCCCAGGUGACCAGUGGUUGAGGUACCUUCCUGGGCCAGUUGAGGGUCAGAACAUUCAGAACAGGGAGAAACACGCAUCAGAGGGGCGAGGAGGCUGCACCCCUCACGUGCAACUCACUCGUGUGGAUGGAGCAUAACUUCCUCCAGGCAGGCACAGGUUUGGUGCAGGGCUCUCCUUCUCAGAAAUGAAGAAAUCCCUGUUCUGCCUUUCACCCCCCAUGUCUUUUAAAGUUGCAGGGAAAUUUGGUUUCCGAAUGGCCCUGCCUCACUAUUUUACCAGCUUUUAAUCAAUCUGCCCAUUUUGUAUUUGGUUCUC